rnacentral:misc_RNA from 1 species
UGGAGAUGGGCUCCUUAGGUGGCGCGUCCUACGUGGUCAGGGUGCAGCAGGCAACGACAGCGGCAGAUGCUCUUGCUGCGGUGCAGUCAGGCCUCGCGGAUGCCUCCGUCUUCUUCUACGGGGCUCUCCUGAGUGCGCUCCAGACGUGCAUGAGGAGGCAGAACGCGACGGCAGUACCGGCCCGCACUUCAGACACGAUCGCGUUGCUGAAGCUGCUCACCUUCAACACGGUAGCGGACGUCGAUGAGACGUCCGAUGGUGUCAAGGCCCUCCUCGCCCAACAACCGGAGCUGAUGACGAAGCUACAGCUGCUUUCGUUUCUCACCUUAUGUAGCGAGCACGCACUGACGCCUGACGGCGUGUGCCUCUCGUACGACGAUGUCGAGCGGGCGCUUGGCGUUCAGGACACGGUGUCGGUGCAGCGCACGGUGUUGCAUGCGGUGCAGCAGCGGCUGUGUGUGGCCCGGCUCAACGAACGAGAGCGGCAAGUGCGCGUGUACUCGUACGAGAGCCGCAACGUGACGCCAGACGACAUGGCAAAGCUGAGGGAGCGAGUGGCGCAGUGGACCGCCUACGCCGAGGCGCACCUGCGUGAUAUCCAGCCAAGCUAACCGUGUUGCGCGCCUGUCCAUUGAGUGGUAUUAGCGAUCUCACCUCUGCGCCCACCUUCACUUCCACGCACAGCUACACGGAAAGGAGAUGUGUAUGAACGUGCAGAGGUACGGUAGGCGCGCGUAGGCUGGCCGAAACGGGCGCGUCUCGCGGCAUCUGCAGGCGGCUCCUUCAGUUCUCCCGCCUCUCUGCCUAUUCCUGCGCAUCGUAUCGUUUUGUUGUGCGUGAGUUUGGCCCUGCUUCUCUUCAUCUCUGCUUCGCCCGACUUCGCUGUUGUUUCCUGUCGCCCCUUCCCCCUCGGCCCCGCAUUUUCGGUAUGUGUGCGUGUGUGUGUGUGCCAAGGGAGGAAGACGCCACGAGUGUGUCAGUAUGUGUGCCGAAGCUGUGCGACGCGCAAACGCUGGCACAGGCGUCAAGCUCCAGGAGAGGAGAGAGGGAUGCUAUCUGUUUGGACUUUGUCGACCUUCGCGUUGACUGGCGUCGACACGCCUCUCAUGCCGCCUCACGGUGAAGCGCACGCCGGGCGAACACGAGUGUUGGGUGCUGCGCUUUUCUCAUGCCUAUUCAGCUGCUCUCCCCGACCCCCCUCCCCGAUGCUGACCUGCGACGUGGUUGCCAUCUUCCUGCUGCGUCUGCUCCACCACUAGCACCUCUACUCUUUGUCGUGUCCAAUUUCCUACCUGGCGCAGCUGUGUCGGUGGGUGCGGCGCUUGUCCUUGUGCCAUCGUGCGCCGGUUGUCGUGCUUUUCUGUGCGCUCCUCACCGCGUUCUCUUCCUUUUGGCGCAGGUGAGCAUAGCACACACGCGGUCCAUCUUGCUGGUGGUGCGAGCGGCUGUAGGACGGGGGGGGGGCUGCUCCUCUCUGUUUUUGCCUGUGACGGUUUUCUUUCCAACUGAGCCUUCUGACGCUCACGCCGUACAAUCACGCCCUCGCCCUUCACCACCAG